AUGGCAGCCACGAAGGAGAUGGCAACCGGAGAAGAGGAACUUCACGGCGUUCUAAUCGUCGGCGGAUGAAUCUGUGGCCUCGCAACUGCGCUUGCUCUUCACAUAAAAGGUAUAGACAGCCUUCUUCUCGAGAAGGCAGAGAGCUUGAGGGCAACGGGGGCAGGAAUCAGCAUAAAAGUCAAUUGAUGGCGUGCGCUUGAGCAGCUGAAGGUUGGCGAGGAGCUGCGGAAACUGGCCGUAAAUCUUACUGGAAUGGAUAAGAAGACCAUUCAUGAUGAUAGGGUGAUUAAUAAGGUAUCAUACAGGAGUGAAUGCCGGUGCUUGAAAAGAAGCGACCUUGUGGAAACGCUGGCCAGGCAUUUACCAGGAGGAUGUAUCCGCUUCGGAUGCCAGGUCGAAGCAAUUUCCCUCGACGCCGCUACCCGCUGCCCAAUCGUCUCAACGAACGACGGCUCAACCAUCAGAGCAAAGGUGGUAAUCGGCUGCGAUGGAGCAAACUCAGUGGUGGCCAAGUUCUUGGGCCUGAAGCCGCCGAGGUUCCUGCCUAUGUGGGCAGCACGGGCCAUGACCACCAUUCCACAAGGGCACGGCUUCAGGAACCGCUUCCUGCACCAAGUCGCAGAGGGCAUAAGCUUUCGGCUCGUGCCCAUGGAUGACAAGACCGUCUACUUCUCUGCAAUCCAGUGCCGACCUCCCAAAGAGCGCACCAACAUCAGGGACCCCGAGCUCAUCCGGCAGGCGGCCCUGCAGGCAAUGCAGAGGUACCCUGAGGACGUCCUCGACGUGGUGCGAAGCUGCGACCUGUCAUCCAUGAGCCUGACGCAGCUCUGCUACCGGCCGCCGUGGCACCUGGUCCUCCAGCCGUUCCAGGAGGGCACGGUGACUGUCGCCGGCGACGCCAUGCACGCCAUGGGGCCUUUCAUCGGGCAGGGCGGCUCGUCCAGCCUCGAGGACGCCGUCGUGGUCGCCCGGUAAUUGGCCCGAACGGCUGACCACAGCCCGGCUAAGAGCGUCGAGGAGGCACUCGGGUCGUACGUGCAGGAGAGGAAGGCGAGGAUCCUGAGGCUGUCCGUGCAGGCGUUCCUCAACGGACAACUCAUCGUCGCGUCGUCCAAGCUCAUGAAGGUGUUGAUCAGAGCUGCCCUGGCGCUUCUCUUCACAGGAAAUUCAGACAGCCACAGCGACUUCGACUGCGGUUCCAUACAGUACGCUACAAUUAUGGGACACAUCAUUCAGACAAGUUUACGCGAAACAGUUUCCAUUUGUUUGCUGAUGCAUCACUACUCUCAUCAACUAUAUGUACAACAGAUUGCUUUUUCACUUCAGCUAUAUGUAAGUUGA
rnacentral:rRNA from 1 species